rnacentral:rRNA from 1 species
AGUGAACGCUGGCGGCAGGCCUAAUACAUGCAAGUCGAACGGCAGCACAGCAGAGCUUGCUCUGUGGGUGGCGAGUGGCGGACGGGUGAGGAAUACAUGGGAAUCUGCCCAGUCGUGGGGGAUAACGUAUGGAAACGUACGCUAAUACCGCAUGCGCCCUACGGGGGAAAGUCGGGGACCGUAAGGCCUGGCGCGAUUGGAUGAGCCCAUGUCGGAUUAGCUAGUUGGCGGGGUAACGGCCCACCAAGGCGACGAUCCGUAGCUGGUCUGAGAGGAUGAUCAGCCACACUGGAACUGAGACACGGUCCAGACUCCUACGGGAGGCAGCAGUAGGGAAUAUUGGACAAUGGGCGCAAGCCUGAUCCAGCCAUGCCGCGUGAGUGAAGAAGGCCCUCGGGUUGUAAAGCUCUUUUGUCCGGAAAGAAAAGCACUGGGUUAAUACCCCGGUGUCCUGACGGUACCGGAAGAAUAAGCACCGGCUAACUUCGUGCCAGC